rnacentral:rRNA from 1 species
UAACACAUGCAAGUCGAGCGGUAGAGAGAAGCUUGCUUCUCUUGAGAGCGGCGGACGGGUGAGUAAUGCCUAGGAAUCUGCCUGGUAGUGGGGGAUAACGUCCGGAAACGGACGCUAAUACCGCAUACGUCCUACGGGAGAAAGCAGGGGACCUUCGGGCCUUGCGCUAUCAGAUGAGCCUAGGUCGGAUUAGCUAGUUGGUGGGGUAAUGGCUCACCAAGGCGACGAUCCGUAACUGGUCUGAGAGGAUGAUCAGUCACACUGGAACUGAGACACGGUCCAGACUCCUACGGGAGGCAGCAGUGGGGAAUAUUGGACAAUGGGCGAAAGCCUGAUCCAGCCAUGCCCUGUGUAAGAAGGUCUUCGG